rnacentral:rRNA from 1 species
UCCGUAGGUGAACCUGCGGAAGGAUCAUAGUUAUGGAGAGGUCGGCCCCCAUGGGCCCCUCGCUCACACUCUGGAUGCAAUGCGUGCUCGCACGCUAGUCUUGGCGCCCAGCCUCGACAACCCUUUGUCAUCCAAGUCAUGCCCAUUUGAAAACCGAGAGAUAAUACAACCAGUAGCGUUGGAUCCCUUGGCACGUCGUUCGAUGAAGACCGUUGCAAAUUGCGAUAAAGUGAUGUGAUGCGCAAGUCCACCACUUAUACGUGAAUCAUCGAGUUGUUGAACGCAUUGCACCGCGCCCUAAUCCGGCUGCGGUAUGCCCCUUUGAGCGUCAUUGUAUCCCUUCGGGAGUCCUUUUACAAGGACCCGAGCUCGGAGUCCUCGGUCCUCCCUGGAUCGUGUUCUCUCAGAUGCCUCGCGCCGAUCGCCUGAUGGGUCCUCUAAUGCCUAAGCGUGGAGUUCCUUCAGUCCGAGACGCGCUUGACCGGGUCUUGAGCCUGCGUCAUCAAGUCUGCCUAACCAGCGGUACUACAACGCAUGACCUCAUUGGGGUAGGACAACCCGCUAGACUUAAGCAUAUUAAUCAGCGGAGGAAAAGAAACUAACCAGGAUUCCCUCAGUAACUGCGAGUGAAGCGGGAUCGGCUCAAUGUGUGAAUCUGGCUUGGGGUACGUCCCGGGUCCGAGUUGUGCACUACGGAUGCUUCGUCUGCGUUUGUAAAGGCGGUGGAAGUCCGUUGAAACACGGCACCUCGGAGGGUCACAGUCCUGUACCACCUGCCUGCACUCGCGCCAAUGACAAGUGCUCCUCGAGUCGCGUAGUUUUGUAAUGCUGCGCCAAGUGGGAGGUAGAGACCUUCUAAGGCUAAAUAUGAUGACGUGACCGAUAGCACACAAGUACCGCGAGGGAAAGGUGAAAAGCAACCAUGAAAAAUGGGUUGAAACAGUAGUGAAAGC